GACGAACGCUGGCGGCGUGCUUAACACAUGCAAGUCGAACGGAAAGGCCCUGCUUUUGUGGGGUGCUCGAGUGGCGAACGGGUGAGUAACACGUGAGUAACCUGCCCUUGACUUUGGGAUAACUUCAGGAAACUGGGGCUAAUACCGGAUAGGAGCUCCUGCUGCAUGGUGGGGGUUGGAAAGUUUCGGCGGUUGGGGAUGGACUCGCGGCUUAUCAGCUUGUUGGUGGGGUAGUGGCUUACCAAGGCUUUGACGGGUAGCCGGCCUGAGAGGGUGACCGGCCACAUUGGGACUGAGAUACGGCCCAGACUCCUACGGGAGGCAGCAGUGGGGAAUAUUGCACAAUGGGCGGAAGCCUGAUGCAGCAACGCCGCGUGCGGGAUGACGGCCUUCGGGUUGUAAACCGCUUUCGCCUGUGACGAAGCGUGAGUGACGGUAAUGGGUAAAGAAGCACCGGCUAACUCCGUG
rnacentral:rRNA from 1 species